rnacentral:rRNA from 2 species
GGCGGCCGUAGCGCGGUGGUCCCACCUGACCCCAUGCCGAACUCAGAAGUGAAACGCCGUAGCGCCGAUGGUAGUGUGGGGUCUCCCCAUGCGAGAGUAGGGAACUGCUAGGCA